AACGAACGCUGGCGGCAUGCCUAACACAUGCAAGUCGAACGAGACCUUCGGGUCUAGUGGCGCACGGGUGCGUAACGCGUGGGAACCUGCCCUUAGGUUCGGAAGAACUCCCCGAAAGGGGUGCUAAUACCGGAUAAUGUCUUCGGACCAAAGAUUUAUCGCCUUUGGAUGGGCCCGCGUUGGAUUAGCUAGUUGGUAGGGUAAAAGCCUACCAAGGCGACGAUCCAUAGCUGGUCUGAGAGGAUGAUCAGCCACACUGGGACUGAGACACGGCCCAGACUCCUACGGGAGGCAGCAGUGGGGAAUAUUGGACAGUGGGCGAAAGCCUGAUCCAGCAAUGCCGCGUGAGUGAUGAAGGCCUUAGGGUUGUAAAGCUCUUUUACCCGGGAUGAUAAUGACAGUACCGGGAGAAUAAGCUCCGGCUAACUCCGUG
rnacentral:rRNA from 1 species